CUUCAUUAGUAACGACCCUGAUUCAUUCAGCCACGACGCGAUCCAGGAUUUUGAAACCAGCAGUAAACGUUUAUCUAGAGCCAAGCAGGUGCCAGCUGACAAAAAUAUAAAACCACCUAGAAAGUGCUGCUCGAAAUUUCAGAGAUUGGUAAUAAUCUGGCGGCAGAAGGCACAGUCAUGGAAGGUCAAAUAUAAGCAGCUAUGCAAACAAUUCGAGGCACCGCAGCGGUUGCGCAAAGUGUUCAACGAUGAUCCAAUUCAGCUGGCUCUCGGGCAAGUGAAAAAGGAGUCUUGGAUAAUAUGAUUACCCUGCUCGGCGACAAAGUGUCAGCACUGAACGACGAGGCGAAAGAUUGCGGCUUAUUUCUUGAUGAGAUGAGCAUUGACGAGGCA